rnacentral:rRNA from 1 species
GCAGUAGCCGCGGGAAUACGUAGGUGGCAAGCGUUGUCCGGAAUUAUUGGGCGUAAAGCGCGCGCAGGCGGAUAGGUCAGUCUGUCUUAAAAGUUCGGGGCUUAACCCCGUGAUGGGAUGGAAACUGCCAAUCUAGAGUAUCGGAGAGGAAAGUGGAAUUCCUAGUGUAGCGGUGAAAUGCGUAGAUAUUAGGAAGAACACCAGUGGCGAAGGCGACUUUCUGGACGAAAACUGACGCUGAGGCGCGAAAGCCAGGGGAGCGAACGGGAUUAGAUACCCCAGUAGUCCCUGUCUCUUAUACA